GCACCCCCCUCCCCCCCAGG
rnacentral:tRNA from 1 species